GACGAACGCUGGCGGCGUGCUUAACACAUGCAAGUCGAACGGAAAGGCCCUGCUUGCAGGGUGCUCGAGUGGCGAACGGGUGAGUAACACGUGGGUGAUCUGCCCCUUACUUUGGGAUAAGCCUGGGAAACUGGGUCUAAUACUGGAUAGGACCAUGCUGUAGGUGGUGUGGUGGAAAGAUUAGUUUCGGUAAGGGAUGAGCUCGCGGCCUAUCAGCUUGUUGGUGGGGUAAUGGCCUACGAAGGCGUCGACGGGUAGCCGGCCUGAGAGGGUGGACGGCCACAUUGCGACUGAGAUACGGCCCAGACUCCUGCGGGAGGCAGCAGUGGGGAAUAUUGCACAAUGGGCGAAAGCCUGAUGCAGCGACGCCGCGUGGGGGAUGACGGCCUUCGGGUUGUAAACUCCUUUCAGCCAUGACGAAGCCCUUGUGGUGACGGUAGUGGUAGAAGAAGCACCGGCUAACUACGUG
rnacentral:rRNA from 1 species